AGCGAACGCUGGCGGCAGGCCUAACACAUGCAAGUCGAACGAACCUUUCGGGGUUAGUGGCGGACGGGUGAGUAACACGUGGGAACGUGCCUUUAGGUUCGGAAUAACUCAGGGAAACUUGUGCUAAUACCGAAUGUGCCCUUCGGGGGAAAAAUUUAUCGCCUUUAGAGCGGCCCGCGUCUGAUUAGCUAGUUGGUUGAGGUAAUGGCUCACCAAGGCGACGAUCAGUAGCUGGUCUGAGAGGAUGAUCAGCCACAUUGGGACUGAGACACGGCCCAAACUCCUACGGGAGGCAGCAGUGGGGAAUCUUGCGCAAUGGGCGAAAGCCUGACGCAGCCAUGCCGCGUGAAUGAUGAAGGUCUUAGGAUUGUAAAAUUCUUUCACCGGGGACGAUAAUGACGGUACCCGGAGAAGAAGCCCCGGCUAACUUCGUG
rnacentral:rRNA from 1 species